CAGUAGCCACGGUAAUACGUAGGUGGCAAGCGUUGUCCGGAAUUAUUGGGCGUAAAGGGCCCGCAGGCGGUUUCUUAAGUCUGAUGUGAAAGCCCCCGGCUCAACCGGGGAGGGUCAUUGGAAACUGGGAAACUUGAGUGCAGAAGAGGAGAGUGGAAUUCCACGUGUAGCGGUGAAAUGCGUAGAGAUGUGGAGGAACACCAGUGGCGAAGGCGACUCUCUGGUCUGUAACUGACGCUGAGGAGCGAAAGCGUGGGGAGCGAACAGGAUUAGAUACCCGGGUAGUCCCUGUCUCUUAUAC
rnacentral:rRNA from 1 species